GGCGUCCGGAACCCAGAGUCUCAGAAAAAUGACAAUUCGGAUCGCUAGACUACAGGCCAGAGGUUGGGAGAGCUCGGCUCUUCCAAGGAGGACAGCAGUGGCAAGCCAGGUACAACAUAUAAAUAUAAAAAGAACAUAAAAAGAACAUAAAAAGCUUCAAAAAAGAAAAAACAAAAACAAAACCCAAAGAGGUCUUUAAAAUUUUUCUGGAAGUAUAAAACCAUGAGAGUGCUCAGACCAAGGGUGAUGCUGCAAGGCCAGAGGCAGCAGGAGGCAGACAAGCACAGCUUCUCUUCCAGAGCCUGCACCUAACAGUGUUUCUAUCAGCAGCUGGAUGCUCUACAGGGGAGCCACCCAAACGGCACUCUCCUUUGACAGGGAGGCGAAGAGGAAGCAGUCAUUAAAACUCUUUCUUUCUGCCCCAAACCAAGGAAAAGAACAUAGUCUCUCCCAAGCUUUCCUGGGCAUGAUGCCCCGAACCUGACAUUUACCCAAUCUGUCCAACCCAGUUCCUAACCAAAGCCAGAAGGUGCCCAAAGUUUUGAGGGGGAGGGGAAGAGGCUAGUGUGUUAUGAAACAGAUCUUUAUUUGAAGUCAUCAUUGGUGCCGUUUCUUGCUGUUUAUUUGUUUGCUAGCCUGUUCUUCCAGUUGCAUGGCUAGGCGCAGGCCUUGAUGACUUCUCGAAGGCCUGAGAAGUGCUUAGCCUGCUUAGCCUGCUGUGUCAGGGCAGAUUCUGCCUUGUUCACCAAGGUCUCCAAGUCAUAGUCUGGCUGAUCCGUCAUCUCAGAGAGCUCAAGCCAGCUUGGUCCUUGCUGUGUGAUCUCCCUGAGCUCUUCCAGGGCCCUCUCUUCCAGCUCCCUGAUCUGAGUCAUGGCUUCAUUAAAGCUGGACAUCUGGGAAGACAGCUCCUCCUCUUCAUUGCCAGCCAGAGAAGUCCCAUUAGAGCUGGCUUCCAUCACUUCUGUUUCCAUCUGAACCGACUGCUCUCCACUGGGCCCACUGUGGGGGCUUAGCUCCUUGACUCUGUCUGUGUAUCUCAGCAUGUUCAACAUGUAUUCAUAGGAGCUUAUGCCUGGUGAGAUCAUAGUGGUCAUGCAGGUCCUUGAGUUCUCCCCAGUGAACGAGGCCCUCAGCAGCUGUGUCAACUUGCUCUCACAGAACGGUGUAUGAGCCUUGUUCUUUCCCAGAGCCCGGAUACAUUCCUUCAGAGCCAGGAGAGACUUGUUAAUUUCUGCACUCUCCAUGUGAGUCUGCCGGUCAGCGAUAGAAGUGUCAGCCCCUCAUUCAUUCCAUGCCAGAUCCACCAAAGAGAAUUUGCCAUGUAAUCUCCCUUGAGCUCGAAGAAGAAUCUGGAAGCAGGCAUGGGAGCAGGAGGAAUUGGAGUUGGCAAAUGUUUGUCCAGAAGUCCUGCAGGCUCUGCCCAUGUUGAUCAUCUUGACGACAUCAUCAGCACAGGUAGCCAGAUACUCCUGCAGUCCCACAGCCUGCACCUGCUCACAGCCUGCACCUGCUGCCUGCUGUCCUCCAGCACAUAUAAUUUGGCCUGUUUGUUGAGGAGAUCAAACACCUUCCCAUUGUAGAUCACGAAGAAUGUCACAUAAACUUCCAGGUUUAAGUUCCAGUAUGGAGACUGAUUCUUCAGAAGGAAGACAUCCCGAGAAACCAUUGUGUAGAUCCCUUUGGAUGUGUUCUGACUUUUACCAGACAGGUCUCCACCCACUGUGUGUGUCUUCCCACUGCCUGUUUGUCCAUAGGCAAAGCAUGUUGCUUUUCCCACUUCAAAAAUUGCCUGUACCAGUGGCCUUGCUGUGAACCUGAAUCUGAUAAACAGGAGAGACAGGAGGACUGAGAAUUUUGGACAUAAAAAGUCUCCAUGACAUACAUCAAUUCUGCCUUUAGACACCCUUACUGUUGAUAAGAAAAGCCAAUGAAAUUUAGACUCUAUAGUGCUAUGAUCCCUAUUAUUCAUUGGCUUGGCUUUCUAGUACACACACACAUGAUACUAUCAUAGUUAUGAUUAUUGAGGCAGGUCUUGCUAUGUGGCCCAUGCUGCCUGAAAUUCUCAACACUAUUGCCCCAGUGUCUGUGUACUACAAUGCCCAGCUUCAUGCACAUACUUAACUGUCAGGAAGAAUGUAAAUGAAAUAGGACUAAAUGAGUUUGUUUGGCUUUGAACUGAUAGUUUAUGUGUCCUUGUGUGCUAGACAUUUUAGCAUGAAGUGUUUAAAGUAAUAAAGAGAAAUUGACAG
ensembl:lincRNA Gm4961 predicted pseudogene 4961